CGGGGUAUAGCGCAGUUUGGUAGCGCGCUGCUUUCGGGAAGCAGAGGUCGUAGGUUCAAAUCCUGCUACCCCGA
rnacentral:tRNA from 1 species